CCUACGGGAGGCAGCAGUGAGGAAUAUUGGUCAAUGGACGAGAGUCUGAACCAGCCAAGUAGCGUGAAGGAUGACUGCCCUAUGGGUUGUAAACUUCUUUUAUAUGGGAAUAAAAUGUUCCACGUGUGGGAUUUUGUAUGUACCAUAUGAAUAAGGAUCGGCUAACCCCGUGCCAGCAGCCGCGGUAAUACGGAGGAUCCGAGCGUUAUCCGGAUUUAUUGGGUUUAAAGGGAGCGUAGGUGGAUUGUUAAGUCAGUUGUGAAAGUUUGCGGCUCAACCGUAGAAUUGCAGUUGAAACUGGCAGUCUUGAGUACAGUAGAGGUGGGCGGAAUUCGUGGUGUAGCGGUGAAAUGCUUAGAGAUCUCGAAGAACUCCGAUUGCGAAGGCAGCUCACUGGACGGCAACUGACACUGAGGCGCGAAAGUGUGGGUAGCAAACAGGAUUAGAUACCCUUGUAGUC
rnacentral:rRNA from 1 species